rnacentral:lncRNA from 1 species
ACCCACAACAUCCAAACUCUAUAAAAGCCGAACCUCCCACCACCACCGCCACCGCCACCGCCACCGCCAUCAAUAAUUAAUUCAAAAAUAUUCUCUCCACCGGAAAAUAUGAGCGAUAGCAUUCACCGGCGGCCCUACUAUUUCUCUGGCUGCAUGUCGCCGUCGUGCGUUCCGGUGCACGAACAGUACAGCCGUGGCGCUCACGCGAGCAGCGGCGGCGGCGGCGAAAAGAGCCACCGCAGCCGGAAACUGCGGAAACUACUCCGAAAGAUAGUGAGCGAAAGCAAGAGUAUUUACGGGUCGGCGGCGGCGAGGCACAGGCACCUCAAUUUCCAGUACGACGCCGUAAGCUACUCUCAGAACUUCGACGACGGCUACCACAGAGACGACGAGUGCGGCCGCCGCUGUCAGUACGUUUCCGAUCAGGAUUUUAUUUGGCCGCAACACUUUGUACAUAAGAAGUAAUUAAUUAAUCUUUUAAGUUUUUUUUUUUUAAUUUCCCUCCAUUUUCGUUAUAAUAAUUCAAUUUCAACUCAGCACCAAAUCACAUGAGAGAGAGAGAGAGAGAGAGAGAGAGAGAGAGAGAGAAAAGUGAUUAAACGCAAUUAUCUAUGCUGUUUUGGUUUAUUCCGUGAGAAAUUUGAAUAUAUAAUUAUCAAUUAAAUCUACGACUACUACAUUAGAACCUCCAUAAAUUAGGAAAAUUACAGUUUUCACCCGUCAAGUUUGCAUCAAUUUCAUAUCACAACAAAACAUAUUUGGUCAUUCAUGUUCCAAUAAUUUAACAUUUUUGGUCAUUUCCGUCAAUUUACCGUUAGUCCGUUAGUUAAGGCAGUCACAGAACACACUUGGUUCCAUUAGUUUUAACUGAAAAUUAACAUAAAUGACUAAAAAUGUUAAAUUUUUGAAACAUAAGGGACCAAAUAUGUUUUUUUGUGAACAUGUGGAACCAAAUGUAAAAUCGGUGCAAACUUGAGGGACGAAAACUGUGUUUUUCCCUCCAUAAAUUUAUAUUGAUACAUUAUUAAUGGCAAAAAUACAGUUUUUGUCCCUCAAAUUUACACCAAUUUCACAUUUGGUCCCUUAUGUUUUAAAACUUCAACACUUUUAGUCCUUUUCGUAAAUUUUCCGUUAAAACUAACCGAAUCAAGAGUGUGCACAUCACUGUCUUAACUAACAUACUAACAGUAAAUUGACGAAAAUGACCAAAAGUGCUAAAUUAUUGCAACAUGAGGGACAAAAUGUGUUUUUUGUGAACAUGGGGACCAAAUGUGAAAUCGGUGCAAACUUGAGAGAUGAAAAUAUAAUUUCCUCGAUUAAUAAUCUCGUUUAAAUAAUAAGUUCUCUGUCUUGACUUAAGGACAAAAUUCUAAAAAAUAUUUCACUAAAUUAAUAGAGAAUUUGGCUGGUCUCAACUGUAUUAAUUAAUUAUAAAUAUGUAAGCGCAAAAAAACAAUUUAAUUGAUUUUUCUUGUAAAUAGAUCGAACCAUAGUUUUCAAUGAUUAAUCUAAGUAAUACCUUAUAGAUUGCAGAAAUAAUAUACUCUUGUAAAUAGAUCAAACCAUAGUUUUCAAUGAUUGAUUCAUCUAAGUAUGACCUUAUAGAUUUGCAGAAUUAAUAUACAUUUAUUUAAUUUUCACCUUUCUUUUAUAUAAAUUAAAUCAAUGACCAUUAUAUUCACCAAUAAUUAACUUUGGUUUUAGUUUAAUUACUGAGUAAUUUGGACCUAAUUUUGUUGGUAAUAAUUCGAAGUCCAGAAAAAAAAAAUUGAAACUAUACACGGUGCAGUUGAAGCAUUUCUGCUUGUUUUCGUGAUUGGAUUCCGUUUGCAUUUUCCACGUUUUUUUUGAGCAAUCUACGCUUAUAUUGAGCACAUGAAAUCCGAUUUCAAAAGCACAUGAAAAUAUGUAAGAAUAAUAUUACUCCAUAUAUAACAAAGUACUUUUCAAGCUUAAUAUGUAGAAGUACUUAUUCAACGGUAACUAAUCCAUUAAUAAUGUCAUAAAAGAAUUGGAGCUUUAAUUUCUGGUUUUAAUUAACUACACGGUCAGUGGAAUCACUACACGAUACAACGACAACACGAAUACAAUGUUUGUAUUUCAAAAUAACAAAUCAGCGAAUAUAAUCUUACAAUUCAUUUUCAAUUAAGCUGAUCUCGAACACGAUGUCAUACCAAGUCGAUCAGCAAUUUUUAUUACGAAGGAUAGAUAUAUAUAUAUUUUUUAAUUAAUUUUUUUUUUAUCGAAUUUUAUACCUUGAUUCGGUUGUUCUUGUUGGCGUUUCAAUAUUAUCUGGUUGUGCAGGCUGGCUUAGCUGAAGCUGAAUCGGCCCAUCGUUAAUCGUUAAACCGAACGAAAGAAAGCCACUUCCAUUAUUAGGUACAAAAAUUUCCCUUGCUC